CAGGUGCUGCAUGGCUGUCGUCAGCUCGUGUCGUGAGAUGUUGGGUUAAGUCCCGCAACGAGCGCAACCCUUGUCAUUAGUUGCUACGAAAGGGCACUCUAAUGAGACUGCCGGUGACAAACCGGAGGAAGUGGGGAUGACGUCAAGUCCUCAUGGCCCUUAUGGGUAGGGCUUCACACGUCAUACAAUGGUCGGUACAGAGGGCUGCCAACCCGCAAGGGGGAGCCAAUCCCUUAAACCGAUCGUAGUCCGGAUUGAGGUCUGCAACUCGACCUCAUGAAGUCGGAAUCGCUAGUAAUCGCGGAUCAGCAUGUCGCGGUGAAUACGUUCCCGGGUCUU
rnacentral:rRNA from 1 species